AACGAACGCUCGCGGCUGAUUAGCUUGUUGGUAAGGUAAGAGCUUACCAAGGCGACGAUCAGUAUCUGGUUUGAGAGGACGAUCAGACACACUGGAACUGAGACACGGUCCAGACUCCUACGGGAGGCAGCAGUGGGGAAUUUUCCGCAAUGGGCGAAAGCCUGACGGAGCAAUACCGCGUGAGGGAAGACUGCCUAUGGGUUGUAAACCUCUUUUUUCAGGGAGGAAUAAAAUGACGUGUACCUGAAGAAUAAGCAUCGGCUAACUCCGUGCCAGCAGCCGCGGU
rnacentral:rRNA from 1 species